rnacentral:rRNA from 1 species
AACGAACGCUGGCGGCAUGCCUAACACAUGCAAGUCGAACGAAACCUUCGGGUCUAGUGGCGCACGGGUGCGUAACACGUGGGAAUCUGCCCUUUGCUUCGGAAUAACAGUUAGAAAUGACUGCUAAUACCGGAUGAUGUCGAAAGACCAAAGAUUUAUCGGCAAAGGAUGAGCCCGCGUAGGAUUAGGUAGUUGGUGGGGUAAAGGCCUACCAAGCCGACGAUCCUUAGCUGGUCUGAGAGGAUGAUCAGCCACACUGGGACUGAGACACGGCCCAGACUCCUACGGGAGGCAGCAGUGGGGAAUAUUGGACAAUGGGCGAAAGCCUGAUCCAGCAAUGCCGCGUGAGUGAUGAAGGCCUUAGGGUUGUAAAGCUCUUUUACCAGGGAUGAUAAUGACAGUACCUGGAGAAUAAGCUCCGGCUAACUCCGUG